rnacentral:rRNA from 1 species
AUUGAACGCUGGCGGCAUGCCUUACACAUGCAAGUCGAACGGCAGCACGGGAGCAAUCCUGGUGGCGAGUGGCGAACGGGUGAGUAAUAUAUCGGAACGUGCCCAGUCGUGGGGGAUAACGUAGAGAAAUUUACGCUAAUACCGCAUACGAUCUAAGGAUGAAAGCGGGGGGAUCGCAAGACCUCGCGCGAUUGGAGCGGCCGAUAUCAGAUUAGCUAGUUGGUGAGGUAAAGGCUCACCAAGGCGACGAUCUGUAGCUGGUCUGAGAGGACGACCAGCCACACUGGGACUGAGACACGGCCCAGACUCCUACGGGAGGCAGCAGUGGGGAAUUUUUGGGACAAUGGGCGCAAGCCUGAUCCAGCAAUGCCGCGUGCAGGAUGAAGGCCUUCGGUU